rnacentral:rRNA from 1 species
AGAGUUUGAUCCUGGCUCAGGAUGAACGCUGGCGGCGUGCUUAACACAUGCAAGUCGAACGGUGAAGCAGAGCUUGCUCUGUGGAUCAGUGGCGAACGGGUGAGUAACACGUGAGCAACCUGCCCCGGACUCUGGGAUAAGCGCUGGAAACGGCGUCUAAUACUGGAUACGAGCUGCGACCGCAUGGUCAGCAGUUGGAAAGAAUUUCGGUCUGGGAUGGGCUCGCGGCCUAUCAGCUUGUUGGUGAGGUAAUGGCUCACCAAGGCGUCGACGGGUAGCCGGCCUGAGAGGGUGACCGGCCACACUGGGACUGAGACACGGCCCAGACUCCUACGGGAGGCAGCAGUGGGGAAUAUUGCACAAUGGGCGAAAGCCUGAUGCAGCAACGCCGCGUGAGGGACGACGGCCUUCGGGUUGUAAACCUCUUUUAGCAGGGAAGAAGCGAAAGUGACGGUACCUGCAGAAAAAGCGCCGGCUAACUACGUGCCAGCAGCCGCGGUAAUACGUAGGGCGCAAGCGUUAUCCGGAAUUAUUGGGCGUAAAGAGCUCGUAGGCGGUUUGUCGCGUCUGCUGUGAAAUCUGGGGGCUCAACCCCCAGCCUGCAGUGGGUACGGGCAGACUAGAGUGCGGUAGGGGAGAUUGGAAUUCCUGGUGUAGCGGUGGAAUGCGCAGAUAUCAGGAGGAACACCGAUGGCGAAGGCAGAUCUCUGGGCCGUAACUGACGCUGAGGAGCGAAAGGGUGGGGAGCAAACAGGCUUAGAUACCCUGGUAGUCCACCCCGUAAACGUUGGGAACUAGUUGUGGGGUCCAUUCCACGGAUUCCGUGACGCAGCUAACGCAUUAAGUUCCCCGCCUGGGGAGUACGGCCGCAAGGCUAAAACUCAAAGGAAUUGACGGGGACCCGCACAAGCGGCGGAGCAUGCGGAUUAAUUCGAUGCAACGCGAAGAACCUUACCAAGGCUUGACAUAUACGAGAACGCUGCAGAAAUGUAGAACUCUUUGGACACUCGUAAACAGGUGGUGCAUGGUUGUCGUCAGCUCGUGUCGUGAGAUGUUGGGUUAAGUCCCGCAACGAGCGCAACCCUCGUUCUAUGUUGCCAGCACGUAAUGGUGGGAACUCAUGGGAUACUGCCGGGGUCAACUCGGAGGAAGGUGGGGAUGACGUCAAAUCAUCAUGCCCCUUAUGUCUUGGGCUUCACGCAUGCUACAAUGGCCGGUACAAAGGGCUGCAAUACCGUAAGGUGGAGCGAAUCCCAAAAAGCCGGUCCCAGUUCGGAUUGAGGUCUGCAACUCGACCUCAUGAAGUCGGAGUCGCUAGUAAUCGCAGAUCAGCAACGCUGCGGUGAAUACGUUCCCGGGUCUUGUACACACCGCCCGUCAAGUCAUGAAAGUCGGUAACACCUGAAGCCGGUGGCCCAACCCUUGUGGAGGGAGCCGUCGAAGGUGGGAUCGGUAAUUAGGACUAAGUCGUAACAAGGUAGCCGUACCGGAAGGUGCGGCUGGAUCACCU